CAGCGGUCUGCGCGCCGGGAGCGGGGGGGACGCUGGCCGCGGGUUUGGAAGAGGACAGUUGCCCUUUAUUCUGGCGGCAGAUAGCAGGUGAAAAAGUGCUACACAAGUUUGAUGUUUGUGUCUUCUUCUCCAAGGCCAAGAAAUUAUCUCCAUAGGAGGCAACAAUACUAUGCAUGUUAUGAAUUGUGUCUCCUUGGUCAGUGAUAAAGAAAGA
rnacentral:lncRNA from 1 species